rnacentral:rRNA from 1 species
UACGGGGGGGGCAAGCGUUGUUCGGAAUUACUGGGCGUAAAGGGUUUGUAGGUGGCCAACUAAGUCAGACGUGAAAUCCCUCAGCUUAACUGGGGAACUGCGUCUGAUACUGGUUGGCUUGAGUGCAGGAGAGGAAUGCGGAAUUCCAGGUGUAGCGGUGAAAUGCGUAGAUAUCAGGAAGAACACCAGCGGCGAAGGCGGCACUCUGGGCCGGAACUGACGCUGAGGAGCGAAAGCGUGGGUAGCAAACAGG